GAUCAUCAAAAAGAAUGUAAGAGGGACCUGCUCUGGAGUUCCUGCUCUUCGGCCCUGCAGCAGGCAGAGGCAAGGAGCACCGCAUCGCCCCAUUCUUCACCAUGGAGACAAUACCUCCUCUGCCGAUGCUGCUGACUUUGUCCCAGCGAUGAUGUCCUAGACUAUGAUGAGAUCCUUGUUGCUAUGGCAAUACAAAUCUCAGUGGUAAUACUUAUGGGUGAAGUUGUCCUCCUGGGAAUGUUUGGCUACCUCUGCAGCUAUUUCCACCAAUUUUAUCCAGGUACAGGGGAAAUGCCAGAAAACUGGAUGGAGAGAAAGGAAAACCAUGAAGCAAAUCCCUCUAAAAAUACUGAUCUUCCCUUUCUGGUUUUAUUUUUAAAAGAGGAUUUUUUCAACAAAAGCACAACUGCUUUAGGAGAAAAGAUCAAGUCUAAACAAGAAAAAAAACAGGAAAUGAAUUUGUAAGCACCGUACUUAAAUAAGACAUGUCCAUGCUAGCUGACAAAUAUGUACCAGUGGUACAUCGUAUUCUAGAAAAAUAAUUUUGCCUUUCUAUGAAGAUAAGUAGUCUGAAGAAUCUGGCUCUUGAAAUCUCACCAAGUAAAUGCUAGAGAAAAAAAGCAAAGAAAGUUUUCAAGACCUUAUUUUACAUUUGCUGUUUGGAAAUUUUUAGUUAUUUUUGUCUGCUUGUUUUGUUUUGGGGAAUAGAGUUACUUUGUUUUUCUGGAGCCCAAAAUGUGUUAAAUAGAAUGUUUUAGCACAAGUAUUAGAGGUAUUAAUAAAGUUACUUCACGUUUCA
rnacentral:lncRNA from 1 species